ensembl:lncRNA
CAAGGGAGACAGAGACAGAGGAGAAACACAGUUUGUUAAUAUUCUGUGCUAGAUUCUGCAGAGGAAUCACUUUAUUUUGCAGAUGUAACUAGCUUAAGUAGAGCUAAAAGUUAUGUAGCUAGAAAGCUGACUUACACCCUUAAAGCUAAUGAAGAGAAAUGCAGGUUUCCCAGGGUAGGUUCUUGGCACUUCUUUGCAAAUAGGUAAAAGGGAAUGGCAGAUAUUCAAGCUCAGGGAGCAAGCAGCAAGGACAGAGCCUUCCCCCCUCUCAGUGUGUUGAAGUCAGCAGAUAGCACACCUGCUGCUGCGUGAGUUCCUUCUGCCAAGCAGAGCAGCACAGCUGCAAGACGCUCUGCUUCUGGCUCUGAGCUUUGCCUGUCUUCAGGGAUGAGGCCCCUCCCAAGGCAAGUUCAACUGGGUUCUUUGGCAGCCGAAGUCUACAUGGACCCUGCAGGGAGCGGUGGAGAAAAAGGUUUGGAUCCCGGGAAUCUUCAGACGAGUACAAAAGGCUCUUGCCAAGGCACCAAUUUAACAAUUUGGUAUAUUGAUCAUGAGGAGAGGGUUCGCCCCUCACGGGAGAAGUAG